AUACGUAGGGGGCGAGCGUUGUCCGGAAUGAUUGGGCGUAAAGGGCGCGUAGGCGGCCCGGUAAGUCUGGAGUGAAAGUCCUGUUUUUAAGAUGGGAAUUGCUUUGGAUACUGUCGGGCUUGAGUGCAGGAGAGGUAAGUGGAAUUCCCAGUGUAGCGGUGAAAUGCGUAGAGAUUGGGAGGAACACCAGUGGCGAAGGCGACUUACUGGACUGUAACUGACGCUGAGGCGCGAAAGCGUGGGGAGCGAACAGGAUUAGAUACCCUGGUAGUCCACGCGGUAAACGAUGAAUGCUAGGUGUAGGGGGUAUCGACCCCUCCUGUGCCGGAGUGAACACAAUAAGCAUUCCGCCUGGGGAGUACGGCCGCAAGGUUGAAACUCAAAGGAAUUGACGGGG
rnacentral:rRNA from 1 species